rnacentral:lncRNA from 1 species
GGUCUUUGAAGCAGUUUCUCCUUGCUUCCCUGUUUCAGUAGCUAUAACAUGAUACUGAUCUUCUGGUUUGUUUGUGUCAUAUGGAUUUCCUGCUGGCACCGUUGGAAAAAUACCGUAAUCUGGCUCUGCUCUGUCUCCUAAUUCUUUUUCUAAGACAUUGUCUGGGCCAUACUUGCAGAUAAAAUUGUGCUUCAUGUUGCAUCUAUCGUCAUUCCACUGAUAAAGAUACGGCCCUCCCAGACCAGGGUUUGCAGUUGGCUGAUGAUACAUAACAACACAGGCUUCACUUCCACAGGAAGGCUCAUCUGUAUACCAAUUUCUGAAGGGUGAAAUACUUCCAUCAGCCCAAUGGUAGAGGUCAGGGCAAGCACUGGAGGUGGCCAGUCCAUCACUACUUCUCCACAACCCAAUCCAG